CUUGCAGAUGGGCAUCUGCACAAGAUGGAGCCAGAGUUAAAAACACGCCUAUCCUUAGCCCUUUGAGAGGUCUCCAUGCUACACACAGAAAAGAUAUGUCAGAAAAUACCUGUAACAAUUCUUGCUCAUAAGGGACACUGCUAGAUACCCGACAUACACCUGCCCUCACCCCACCGUUUCAUACCUCUUGACUGAUUUUCUUGCCUUCCUGCAGGUGCUGGCAUUGGACCUGAAGUUUUUAACACAUGCCGAGGGAAAUGGCAGCCCCAUGAGCAAGCAGGUGCUGGCAUUGGACCUGAAGUUUUCAAUACACGCCUAGGGAAAUGGCUGGCCCAUGAGCAAGGAGGUGAACAGGGCUAUGCAAGGGAGGGCAGCACAGGGAUGCAGGGCACUUGGCUGCUCCUUCAUUCCUUCCCAUCUGCCUUGCAGAUGGGCAUCUUCAGAGACAGAUCCUGAAUAAGAAGGAAACACGCCUAUGCUCAACCCUUUGAGAGGUCUCCAUGCUCCACACAGAAAAGGUGCUGGCAUUGGACCUGAAAUUUUCAAAACACGCCGAGGGAAAUGGCUGGCCCAUGAGCAAGCAGGUGCUGGCAUUGGACCUGAAGUUUUCAACACACGACGAGGGAAAUGGCAGCCACAUGAGCAAGCAGGUGCUGGCAUUGGACCUGAAGUUUUCAACACACGCCGAGGGAAAUGGCUGGCACAUGAGCAAGCAGGUGCUGGCAUUGGAUCAGAAUUUUUCAACACACGACGAGGGAAAUGGCUGGCACAUCAGAAGCAGGUGAGCAGGGCCACGCAGGGGAGGGCAGCACAGGGAAGCACGGCACAUGGCUUCUUCUGCAUUCCUUCCCAUCUGCCUUGCAGAUGCCUAUCUGCACACGAUGUAACCUAA
rnacentral:lncRNA from 1 species